UUUUUUUUUCUUUUCUCUGCAUUACAGGCCAACUCAUUGACGGAGAUGUUUGCUGGAGGUCAACUAGAGCAUAAAGUGAUGCUAAAAGUCGGUUGUGUUGAUUACUCAACGACACCAUGGGAACCAGUGAAUUCUAACACAUAUCAGAGGCAAAUCAGUUACAAGUUUGACAAAAGUUUGUCACGGUACGGAGGAGAAGCCACAACAACCCAGCAAAAAUCUUCCAUCCCUGAUCAAAGUGGAUGGAUUAUCGAAGAGGUUAUGACUCUCCAAGGAGUCCUACUUGGAGACAACUUCAGUGUAAGAGCACCCAUCUUCAUGCUUCUAGCAUUUAUUAAGGUUUUAUUUUUGGAUUUAUUAAGGUUUUAUUUUUUGGAUAAUAUCUGGUGCUUGAUUUCAUGGAAGAAAAUAGCAUGGAACAUAUGAGUAAAUAGGAACGUUUUUUUUUUUUCCUUUUGAAGUACUGAAAUUCCCAUAGUAAGGCAUGCGGAGGUGAGGGUUGAGGGUGAGGCUUCGACUUUCAAGUCCGGCCUUUGAGUUUCUUAAAAAAAAAAGGGAUUUUGAUCAGUCUGUAUAUUUCCUAUGUUUUGACGUAGAGAGAUGUUUGUGAACUAUACGUCCUGUUGGGAAAAAUUGAAAAGUGAAAAUGUACAUGCACACCUCCAACUAUUGGUCUUUUGAAGAUAGAUCCCUAAAUUUAUCCACAGUUAUGGAUGAUUUAGUAAUAGGAGAGUGAUAGGACUCUUUGCAAAUGAAAAAUCUCAAAUCAAACAAUAUAAUAGGGGCUCUAAAUAAAAAAAAAAAAAACUUGUUGUACACUCCAAAAGGUAGUGUAUGAUUUACAUCCCUCCAUUCUAGGAUUCACAAAGCUUUGAAAUUUUUAAUAUUUGAAUAAUAAAAAGUUGACAAACAAGGGGUUACUAAUAGCCCUUGGAUGAAGGAAUGUAAGAUAUACACCCCCUUUGAAGGUGUACAGGUAGCAUUGUGUUGAAAAUGAGGAUGAAAAAUAUUAAUGGUAAUUUCACAAACACUUGGUGGACAAUUUCACAACCCACACCUUAUAAACAUUCAAUAACACAAGAGCAAUAACAAAAAAAAGAAAAUCACAAGAACACAAGGAUUUACAUGGUUCGGCUUGUUGGCUUAAAUGGGCCAGCAUCUUGCCCUGUGGCGGGAGGCCAUGUGGGCCGAGUCAUGUUCGAAAUGGCGUGAGGCUGGGUUGGGCCGACUCAUGUUCGAAGUGGCGUGAGGCCAGGUGGGCCGAGUCACAAUCGAGAUCCGUGGGCGCUGUUUCUGUACGCUUUAAGUGAAUUGGUUGCGUAUUUCUAACAGCUCGAGCUUUUGGGAUUAAUGGUUAGCGCCAACGAUCCGACAAGUGGUAUCAGAGCCAGAGGUCACGGGUUCGAUUCCCGCAUGCUGCAAAUGUGUGCAGGUGCUGGAGGGGGGAUUGUUGGCUUAAAUGGGCCAGUAUCCUACCCUGUGGCGGGAGGCCAUGUGGGCCGAGUCAUGUUCGAAAUGGCAUGAGGCUGGGUUGGACCGAGUCAUGUUCGAAGUGGCGUGAGGCCAGGUGGGCCGAGUCACAAUCGAGAUCUGUGGGCGCUUUAAGUGAAUUGGUUGCGUAUUUCUAACAGCUCGAGCUUUUGGGAUUAAUGGUUAGCGCCAACUAUCCGACACGGCUAUGCCUACAUCCACGGGAGAAUAAUGCAAUAAAAACAUUUACUAUAAAAUUUAGAGAUUACAAGAGAGAUACAAAUAGGAGAUAUAUUACCUUCACGUCAAGGUAUAAAGAGAGCUCCAACAAUCUCUAGAUCUAUUCAAAUGGUGUAAACCACAUCUCACAAGAAAGAGCCUGUCUCCUCCUUGAUAGAACUAAGAUUAAACCAAAUUCUAGGGUUUGCUCUCUUUUGUCCCACUUCUUUUCUCACUCUCCACUUCCCUCUUUUGUUUUCUACAAUAUUCUAAUUACCCCGCUUUAGUCCCUAAGACAAUAAGCUAUCAAAUAUAGGCCUUUGGAUUAAAAGAAUCAUAAUCCAAAGGCUUACAAGUAGGAGGCCCACUUACAUAGUAAGAAAAUAUAGAAAUAGAAAAAUUGACUUCACCAAAAUUACAUAGCCCGAAUAUCAACACCCAAAUAACAAAUAGACCCAAUGUAAUUUGCUCAACACAUUACUCUAUCAAAAGAUAUAGAUUUUACGUAUAUAUUCCUGAUCAAUAGAGUUAGGAGUGUAUAGUAGUUGGUCUAUUUUUAUUAGAGCAAUUCUACCCAUACACCCCAAAAAGAGUGUAAAUCUUAUACCUCAUCAAUCUAAUAGGUGUGGUUUCUGCACCACUCACAUCGAUGUGACUAAUGGGAUAACUCCACCCAUCGGAUUGAUGAGGUUUAAGAUUUACACCCAAAAAGUAGGUGUACGGGUAGCAUUUUCCUUUUUACAAAAUAUGUAGUUUACAAAAUCUCUGGAUGUUGUGAUUCCAAACGAGUGUUUCUGAAAACAGCUAUGAUAAAAAAGCUGGUCUUAUGUAGGAAAUCACGAGUACUCGGACCUGUGAAGUUAAAAUUUUAUAUGCUCUAUAUUUGAAGAACAAUUAGAAACUUUUUUAAAAAAAGAAACUUCUUUUCGUAUUUGCAACAUCUUCUUAGUUGCCCCUUGAAUUCUGAGUUUAAAUUGUAUUAUUGUGUUUGUUUAUUGCAGCUUCAACUGAAAUACCAGGCAUGCAACAUUCCUGAUAAAACCAAGGCAUGUAAUGUCCAAGCAUCACUGGGCAUUGCUUGGCUGAAGAGCACCAAGCAUCAGAAGAGGAUUACACAGAAUAUCAUGUCAAAUUCUUCCAUUCGGCUCAAAGAGAUCUUCUCAGAAGUUGAAAAGGAGCUCAUGAAUAGGAAACACGGUUGAUCGCCUGGGCUAGAAUGAACAUACACUUGUGUGGGAGCAAAUUCGAGUUUUAAAGCGAAGUGCGGCUCUCACUUGGCACAGGAGAGGAGUAGCAAAGAUAUACAUAUACUUCAAGAAUAUGGCCUUCAGUUAUAUGCUUCGAGAAUCCAUGAAAUGGCUCAGAUUUAAUGCAGAUUGUUAACAACAGUUACUUGCUGUUGGCAUAUCAAACUCAGAUGCUGCUGCCGAGCCAUUAUUUCUCUCUCUCGCUCUUUCUCUCCCUUCCUCUCUCUCUGUACACAUGUGAAUAGGAAACGGAAGAGAUGCAAGAUGAUUUGAUACUCAAAGCAUGGACUUAGAGAUUUUUGUUCUUUUUUUUUAAUUUUAAAUGUGCAUGUGAAAAUUUGAUGCAACGAGUAAUGAUUGGGUUCUCAUGGCUCAUGAAAUGUUGUAAAACUGUAAUCGGCCUCGGUAUGCUAUACUUAUUUCACAAUCAAAGGAGGAAUCCUACUGAGGAAUAGUGGUCUAUAUUUUUCAAGCAGAGCCAUACCUUGUUUAUAUGAUAACUUGGAAGCAAGUUAGUUCAGAAUAAAAGAAAAUCGAGAGUUUAUAUUGUAGCAUUGUAAAUAAACUUCAGUAAUACUCUGCUUUAACAGUAGCAGGCUCUAGUAGAGCAUUCUGUAAUGUCAGUGCGUAGGAAGAAAAAUUCUUGCGCAUGAGGCUGUAGGGAGUGCACACCCAAGCUAUCCUGGCUUUGCAAGGGGGCUUAAUAGGCAAUUGAGUUGACUUUGCUUGUGCAUUUGCUUUUAAGCUGCAGCCAGUUUUAAUUGUACAUUUUGUAAAUAUAUGAUAUCAUACCAUCAAGCUACUUACUUUUUGAUGCAGUUCUAUUCUUCAGGCUUUUAUCUCCAAAUCUGAGUUGACUUAUCACAGUGUAUCAGGUUUUGGAUAAAUGAAUUGAAUUCAUUAAAAAAAAAAAACCAACAAGAGGGUGUGAGAACUAUAUCUAAUUGUUCCCAUUAGGGAUAAUCGCAGUAAGGGGGGCCCAAUAGGUCUACUAGAGACACAAUAUCAAAAUAAUAGACAAUUGAUAGGAAAAUGUUAGAUGUGCCUUGAAAUUUAGUUAUCGACUUCGAUUUUGGGCCCGCGGUUUGUCAAUAGUUUUGUGAGAUACUGAAACUCGAUGGAUUGUGGCUAACUUUGGCCAAAUGGACCAAAGUGGGCAAUUAAACGGUUUGGACAAGUUCCAAUCGGCAUUCCAACAAGUUUGGAAGAGCUAAAAUGAGUUCCAAAGGUGUUGGAAUGGUUUUGACAUCGAUCGGCGAGAAGUAGAGCCGAAGUGGGGUGAAAAAUAGCACUCUGGAGCUGUUGUACCGGUACAAGGGUGAUGGCUAUACCGGUACAACCAUCGCAGCUCUCGGGUUGGGGGCUGCCAGGCCUUGUACCGGUACAAGGGGGCCUUGUACCGGUACAAGUCCUGCGAAACCGAGAAACCGAGCUCUCGGGUUGGGCUGUCUGCCAGGCCUUGUACCGGUACAAGGGACCCGAAACAGCAGGGUUGUUUGGAAAAUUAGAAAAUAGAGGGGCUUUUUAGGAUUUUGUUACAAGAGAGGGUUAUAAUACCUCUCUCUCAGCCACUCCCUCUCACUUUUAGCUUCUCUCUCUCCCUCUCACUUGCUCUCUCUCUCUCUAAACCGAAAAGAGAAGAAGAAGAAGAAAAGAAGGAGAGAAAGAAAGGGAAGAAGAAGAAGGAAAGGAAGGAGAAGAUCAAGGAGAAGAAAAAGGAAGCUCUCUCCCUCCUCUUCUUCAAGCUAGGGCUUGCUUUGGAGCAAACCCUAGAGGUAAGCCUCAACCCUAACUUGUGAAUCUAGAGUUUUGAGAGCUUUUUGUUGGUUUUAAUGGUUCAAAUGGAACCUAAUGAGUUUAGAGGACAUGGAUUUAGCUCACAUUGAAGCUAGAAACCAUAGUUUCCCAUGGGUGCUAAACCUAGGGUUGGAUUUUGGGAUUUUUGGGAUUAUAGGGUUUUGAUCUAUUUUGAUGGAUCAGAAACUUAAUUGUUAUGUUCCCGAACGCGUAGGCGAAGACGGUUCGUUGAUCCGGCGAGCGAGCGCGGAGAUAUCGCCGAUUUGGUCGCUCUAGGGUUCGUUUUGACCCAAGGUGUUGAAGCGACGCACGUGGACCGCAACGCCGAGCUUCUUAGCUUUUCGGCACUACCACAAGGUGGGUGGUGAUCUUCCCGAAGCCGCGGGGCUACGUUCUAUGUCCAAGUUUUAAUGUUGAUCUAGUUGCAUCUUAUUCAUGUGCAUAUAGGGCUAGUAGAUGAUUGUUGUUGUUCACAUUUGCAUGCUAGUAGCUAUAUAUUUAGUUGGUUGAUCCAUGAUCUAGUAUGCAUGAAAACUACAUGAUGAAAAUCUAGACCCUAUAUGAGAUGAUUAAUGCUUAUGUUGCUAAAGAACUAGUAUAAUGUAACAUGUGUUGAUAACGAGUCAAAAUGGCAAGUGGCACCUAAUAUAGAAAACUAUGACGAGUGGCAUAUGAUUAUUGAUAGCUUAUGACAUGAGAACCCUAGUGUAGCUGAAACACUGUGAGAUUGGGUAUUAGAACACCAUGAUUCUAUAAUGAGAUUACCCUCAGAGGGUAGGAUAUUGUUGAUUGUGAGUUGAUCGUGCUCACAUAGCCUGUCUGCGCUUGGAGGGGUCGCUCCCCGCAAGCUGUGCACUCCGGAGGUUGGUCACUAGAGGGACGGUCAGUGUGCUGUCUGGACGGUCUGUGUGCUAUCCACAGGCGGUCUCGGGAGUAGUUCAGUGAGACUUUCCCUAUGAGACUUACACGUGAGUUAUACUUGUGAACCUUGAGUUCGCCAUGGGAUUGGGUAACCUAUUGAGUCACACUCAUUAUUUGUUGUUAUAGUAGCUUCCCUAUGGUUGUUCAUAUUAGCUUUCUUCUUGUUGUUGUUCAUAGUAGCUUACUACCCAGCUUUAUUUAUUGUUCAUGCAUGCAUGAUAUCAGAUUGAGGCAUAGCUAGAUAUUCAUGAUUCUACCUACUUGCUUACGUUUCCUUACUUGCUCAGUUUUCGUACCUGCUUUUAGUUGGUUUAGCUCGUAUAUAUAUAUUGCAUAUAUAUCUCUCUAUACCUGCUUCGACCUAGUGGGUAGAACGGUGGAGUCAGCGGCCGAACCCAUUGGGAACUAUUCGUAGUUCUCACACCCUUGGUUGCAGGUGCUAGUUCGAGUGUCCCGACCGAGCGGGAGGAUCGCGGCAAGGGCUUGGCGCCCUAGUGGUAUUAGCUGAUAGCUUACUUUCUACUUGCAUUAGCUCCACCCUGUCCUUAUAUUUUGAGAGUAGAUGUUGUAUAGGGUGAGGAUUUUGGAGAGUAUUUGAUGUGUUUACAUUUUGGGAAAAGAUUGGAAACAAUGUAUGAUGAUUUAAAUGAUGUUGAAUGCAAGUUGUAUUUUAAAUGCUUCUAGUUUCAUGGUUCAAAUAGUUAAAUUUCUCUCUUUUGUUUACUUGUAUGCUUUUACUUGUAUCGCUUGCUCUUGAUGGUUUUAACAUUGUUUGUGUUAUUGUUAUAUAAUUGUAUAUAAAAUCAAGUUGUUUUUUCUGGGGACUUAUUAUACACAAUCUCGUUGGUUAGCCUUGGGCAGACAGGGGAGACUCUGUCCGUUCGGCCUCACGCCGCCGCCCUAGAACCGGACCAAAUAGGUACCGUUUUCAGGUCGUGCGGUUGGGGCGUGACAAGUUUCGCGGUGCGACAAAUUUUAAAAAAGAAUUUGUAAAGGAAAAAAUGGAUGUUUGUGGUGUGUAGCGGAGGGCUCAGCGUAGUCCACCAUUGACAUCGGAUGUGGGGUGUGGGCGAUGGAGGCCCGAACGUUAUGGAUUGGAUCGGAUAAUGAAGAAAACUAUUAAAGAAUUUCCUUUUUCUCUCUAGCCCUGACACGAUACAGUGCAUUGUAAACUCUAAAAAACGUUGUACUCCAUUUUUCAUAGUAAAGUUCUCUCCUCCUUCGCCCGUGGUUUAUUUUUCCCUGCAAAGAAUUUUCCACGUAAAUACUUGUGUGUUCUAUUUAUUUUAUUAUUUCUGUGAUUUUGUCUACUUUAUGAUCGUCUUUGUCAUUUCUAUUUGUGUGCUUGUCACAACAGAAAGUAAAUGCUAACAACAAAUGAAAUCUACGAUCCUGUCUCUGCUGUGUCAACUGUCACCUCUACAUGCAUCAUUGUACAUGAACAUAUGUUGAUUACACAAUUUUCACAUAACCUGACUAGACAAUGUCUCUUCAAGCUUGCACCUUGCCUAGUGGGACGUCGAACAAUUGCACAUGAACCCACAUCAACACACAAUAGUUAGGCGAACAAUCGCAUUAUCGCUUGGUUAUACCUCUAGAGGGCUAUGGCUUGUAAGGAGCAAUCCUCACUAACUAAAGUGCCUAUUGAGCUCAUUUUGGCUUUUGCAAGCUAUAACUGCAAAUCCAUAACCGAGUGUGUUGCAUUUAUACUCAAAUGAAAGCUUUCUAGCUACAUUGGUAUAUUGUCGAAUGCCUUCUAUACGCUAUUAUGAAUCAAGCCCUACCUGUCAUUUUGCCUUAUCCAUUUAAUAUUCUACUGCAAUACUAUGCUCAGUAAUAUGUUUUACUCACGAAACAUAAAUAAUAACAUCUAUGAGGCAUGGGAGUAUAAAGUUCCACUUUAAAAGCUAGGUUUUCUACCUAUAUUCAAGGUUCAUCACUUAACAAGAAAUCUAUACAUUGACUAGAUCAUCUUAUGCAAUAUAUGCUAGAAAAACAACUGAAAUAAAACGAUGAAGAUAUAGGUGUAGAUCACUCAAUUCGGAGACUUAAACCCACCAAUUUCAUUAGGACGAUCCAUAAAAGCUCGAUCCAAGAUGUGGAGUUCACUAAACAACCCUACAAGAGGGUUUCUAACUCAUUAAAAUCAUCUAAAAGUCUCCUAGGAGAAAACUCCCAAAUCUGAACUCUAAAACCACAUUCUAUCUAAAAUCUUUCAAAACUAGCAAAAUCACACUAUAUAGAGUGUAGAGGAACAAGAACUCACAUUUUUUAAGCCCUACUCCCUAAACCAAGCCUUUUGGCCUUAGAAUUGAGCUCUCAAAGCAUGGUUCCACCUCUUCUUUUACUCCAACACCGAGCUCGAUCAAGGUUGGACCUUCAAAGAGAGGAGAAAGUAGGGAAGUGAGGCUUGGGGAAGAUCUAAUGAUGGUGAGGGAGAAGGAGAUGAAGGAGAAAGAGAGGGGGAGGGUUUACUUUCCUUGAGUGAGGAGAAAAUGAGAAAGAGGGAGUGAGAGAGGGUAUUUGUAAGAUAUUGAAUCCCCAUCAUAUUAAACCACUUUUGGUCAAAAGGACCAAAGCGUGGCUAGAAAAAUGCUUGGACAUGGUCCAUGUGACAUUCCAAUCAUGUUGGAAAGGUCAAAGUUGAGUUCUAAAUGAGGUUAACGAGUUUUAACAUUGCUCGACGCGAAAUGGAGCUGGAACAAUGCUAAACUGCAGUCUGGGCAUUGCUUAACCGGUUAAACAUCAGGAUGGUACGGUACCAGGCAGGCACCCAAGAGCAGCUGCUCUCGGGUUUGAGUGUUUAAGGCUAUUUAACUGGUGACACCCCUGGUGCGUACCGGUACCAGGUCAGCUACCCGAGAAGGCAGCUAUCGGGUUUGGCUGUUGCGUAAUUGGUUAAUUGGUAACAGAAUCACGCGUACCGGUACCAAGUGCAGAAAACUACAGGAUGCAGUAUGUUGUAAAUGACAAUUGUUGGGGGGCUUUUCUGCAAUUGUGGCAGCUUAUAAAUGGACCCCAUUUCCUCUUCUUAUGUUCACAGUCAGAGAACACUCUUCUUCACUCUUUUUCUUUCUUUCUCUCUCUAGAAGCUCUCUCAAGGGGGAUCUAAGAGGAGGAAUUGGUGGAGAAGGAAGCAAAGAAGUGGAAUUUCAUCUUCUUCUUCUUCUUCCUUUGCUUGGAGAGGAAGGCUUUGAGGUAAGCUCUACGAGUUUCAAUGGUAGAUUUCUAGGGUUUCAUUUUUAAACUCUAGAAUUGGUUUUGGUAGAACCCUUUAGUGCUAAGUAGAUGAUUAUUGCGUGAAUCAAGAGGCUUUAUGGUGUAUUCUUGCAAUAUUGAUCAUCUAGGGUUCUAAAGAGGGUUUUGUUGGAAAGAGAUCUAAAGUUGGGAUUGAUAUCUUUUAUACCUAUUUAUUAGGUAAUCGAAUGCGUUGGUGAACUCGGUUCGGCGAUCCGACAAGCUUGCUUUUACAAGCACCAUAGCAAUCGGAGGAAUUAGGCCGCGGAAAAUUACAAAAGUUGGAGUCUAGCUUCUUGGCAUCACCAGGAGGUGGAUGGUGUCCAUCCCGAAGCAGUUGAACUUCUUCCUAUGUCCGAGUUGUUUUAUUAUAGUAUAUGUUCAUAUAUUGUUAUCAUGCAUUAUAGGUUAUGUUAAGUAGUUGUACUUCAAUUCCUUGCAUGUUUUCAUAGUAGAAAUCAUAUAGUGAGUUGAGCACUUGAUUUAGUGGACACAUGAGGAUUGGGUCUUGACAUGGAAUCCUAUAGUGCCAAAGAAUAAAAGAUGAACUUGGACAUGUAAAUUAACUCAAAGAGUAGCAUUUGGACUAGUGUAGUAGAAACACUAUGACAUGAACUUAGGAAUAAAUGAUGAUUUCCUGAGUAGUAGCAUGUGAACCAAAGAGUGGCAUUUGGACUAGUGUAGUAAAAACACUACGACAUUAACUUAGGAAUAGAUGAUGAUUUCCUGAGUAGUAGUAUGUGAACUAGUGCAGCAGAGGCACUAAAUAUCCUCGAGUGAGAGGAUUGGAUCGUACUCACAUAGUCUGUGUAACCUUGGCGUGUUGCUCCACCCCAAGUAGUGAGCUCCGAAGUCGUCGUCGCGUUUGGGUAACUUGAUUACCCAGCAGGCAGUCUCGGGUGUGUGUAGCGCAGAGUCUACCCACCGGCGAGAUUUGAGAUGUGAGUUUGGGCGUAACCUCUGGGUUAGCCGAGAUAAGAUUGGAUAUUAGUGUCACGCCCCGGGGUCCCUUUUCAGUUUAAAACAAAGCGGAAAAGCGUCUGAAUUUUUUUUUUUUUUUUGAAAACCUGACCCCAGAGUAUGCCAGAUCCGCCACAAAUACAGGGAAUCCACUGUUCACGCGGACAGAGUCUCCCCUGUAUUUGCACGGCGUCGAUCAAAUACACAGUACAACCAGGAUACAACCACAACCAGAUGAAUAUAAAGAUAACUAUACAUUCAUACAUUCACCAUUCACAUCACAGUUUUACAUUCAAGGUUUAAACAGAAAUCCACAAAAAUCUUUUGAAAACUGUUUCCUACAUAGAAACCUUUAUUCUUUUAAAAACGCUACCACGAGGGGUAGAAAACCUUUUAUUUUACAAAAUCCAGA
rnacentral:lncRNA from 1 species